UACGUAGGGCGCAAGCGUUGUCCGGAAUUAUUGGGCGUAAAGAGCUCGUAGGCGGUUUGUCGCGUCUGCUGUGAAAACCUAAGGCUCAACCUUGGGCUUGCAGUGGGUACGGGCAGACUAGAGUGCGGUAGGGGUGACUGGAAUUCCUGGUGUAGCGGUGGAAUGCGUAGAGAUCCGGAAGAACACCGGAGGCGAAGGCGGCUUGCUGGACCUGGUCUGACGCUGAGGCGCGAAAGCGUGGGGAGCGAACAGG
rnacentral:rRNA from 1 species